rnacentral:rRNA from 1 species
UACGUAGGGUGCGAGCGUUGUCCGGAAUUACUGGGCGUAAAGAGCUCGUAGGUGGUUUGUCACGUUGUUCGUGAAAACUCACAGCUUAACUGUGGGCGUGCGGGCGAUACGGGCAGACUGGAGUACUGCAGGGGAGACUGGAAUUCCUGGUGUAGCGGCGGAAUGCGCAGAUAUCAGGAGGAACACCGGUGGCGAAGGCGGGUCUCUGGGCAGUAACUGACGCUGAGGAGCGAAAGCGUGGGGAGCGAACAGG